GUUUAUAUAGUUUAACAAAAAUAUUACAUUUUCACUGUAAAGAUGAUUUCUUAAUUUAUAAAUA
rnacentral:tRNA from 1 species